rnacentral:rRNA from 1 species
GACGGAGGGUGCAAGCGUUGUUCGGAUUGACUGGGCGUAAAGGGCGUGUAGGCGGUUGGUCAAGUCUGAUGUGAAAGCCCGGGGCUCAGCUCCGGAAGGGCAUCGGAAACUAGCCAGCUGGAGCGCGAUAGGAGGAGGGCGGAAUUCCUGGUGUAGCGGUGAAAUGCGUAGAUAUCAGGAGGAACACCGGCGGCGAAGGCGGCCCUCUGGAUCGUUGCUGACGCUGAGACGCGAAAGCGUGGGGAGCAAACAGG